rnacentral:lncRNA from 1 species
UAGACGAAUAUACAAGAAGUUAAGAACAUGUAAGGAAAUAUUAAAUACAUAACAGAUUGUCGGCGAAGCUAGCCCUGCUCGAGUUGGGUAGCCCUUUUUCGUCCCCAGGGAGAACAUUCGUUCGUCUACGGAAGGCGGAACAAUACGGGCUGUGCCUCAGUUUGGGCCUUGUUGAGGAAGGAAGAGAACCAUGGUGAAGUGAAGUGUGUCUCCUUGUGGAUUUCAUCCUAUGAAGUUCUGGUUCUCCGUUGUUCCUACUCUCCGUUCACCUUAUUGGGUUAUGGAUGUGCAAUGGUUUCUCCUCUGGAUCAUCCAGAGUUGGAUGAGGGUACAUCAAGUGAAAUCGAUAUGUCUCCCAGGGACGAGCAGGGUGCUCGUGUCCCUAAAACCUCUAUAAGGGUGAACGAUAUGUCUCCCAGGAACGGGCAGUGUGCUCGCGUUCCUAAAACCUUUAUGAGGAAUAGUGUUCUCCUUUCUCCGGUGCUCGUGCUGAGAGAGCGGAUCAAUAAGAUUCUAUUCAUGGAGCGGAACCUGUAUAAGUACCAGCAUGGAUUUGGUGCCGGGGGGGGUAGUGUAAUGUAUUAUUAUAGUUUUCUUCCCUCUUGUGCUCUUCUAUUAUUUUCUUGUAUAUACAUAUAUGUGUAAAGUACAGUAUUUUACCUCGUUUUAAGUAUAAAUAGUCGUGUAUUUUAUGUAUGUAGUAGAGUAGGUUUUUGUAAUUAUAAUAAUAUAGACGUUCCUAUAAACAGACCUUUGUAUUAUUCCUCCACGCCUUUUCUUCUCUCACUUCUCUCGGUCGUCCUGGAUCUCUCCACCUUUAAAUAGUUUGUGUCUCCUCAACCUCGUCAAGACACAACAAAUUAUAAGAUUAUAAUACUUGGCGUAGUUGAAAUUUUGUCUCAACAUCACAUGGGCUAAUGAGUUAUUUACUCACGGAGUCAGUUUACAACACAGAAAAUAUGCAUAUUUAUCAUUGAUUUGGAGUCGCAAAUUUUAAAAAUACCUACAGAUUUAGAGCCGGGAUCUCUAAAUAUGAUAAAUCCAACCUCAAGAAACUAUUAGAAUCAUACUCUAGAUAUUAUAUUUCACUUUUUAGUCCCUAAAAUAAUAAAUCAAUUUAAACAAGUUUAUUAAAAAUACACGAAUCUUAGAAUAAAUUAUUCUUGAUUUAUAGUUUGUAAUAAUAUUUUGUGUUCUUUGUUUUGAAUACAUAAAUUUCAAU